rnacentral:rRNA from 1 species
GACGAACGCUGGCGGCGUGCUUAACACAUGCAAGUCGAGCGGAGCGGCGAACGGGUGAGUAACGCGUGAGUAACUGCCCCCCUCUCUGGGAUAACCGUUGGAAACGGCUGCUACUACCGGAUAGUGGUGGAUGACUCGCGUACUAUCAGCUUGUUGGUGGGGUAGUGGCCUCCCAAGGCGACGACUGGUAGCCGGGCUGAGAGGGCGACCGGCCACAGUGGGCUGAGAGACGGCCGAAACUCCGACGGGAGGCAGAAGUGGGGAAGAGUGCACAAGGGGAGAAACCCUGAGGCAGCAACGCCGCGUGCUGGAUGACGGCAUUCGGGUUGGAAACCGCUUUCAGCCAUGACGCGGUAGUGGCAGAAGAAGCACCGGCUAACUACGUGCCAGCAGCCGCGGUAAUUC